UGUCUUUACCUGAACUGGUCGGUGUACUUGAGCUUAGAGUUUGCGUAGUUUAGUGGGUAGUAAUUGUAAAGGUUAACCCAAGGCUGCUUCACAGCCUUUAACCCACGUUUCUUGAUAGCAACCGUUAUAACUUGAGCUAUACUAGCCAAUGGACUACCUGAGGCUUUGAUCUUGACAUACAACUUAUCACCCGCAAAGAAGAUCAGGUCUAAAAGCUUCCAGAAGAUGAGAAACCACAUGAUCAUUAGACUUUGUUCUUGUCUUGUUGUUUGAUCACAUCUCCAUUUGUUUCAUAAGCUGUCACUUCAUCAUCACUUCCUUUGUACCUAUACCAUCUUGACAUCACCAAGAAGUAAGCAAAAUUAACCGCCAAGAUUCCAGCGAUCAUGAAGUAAAACAAAUCCAAUCUUCCUUUGUUCAAAUCUUCAGCCAACCAGUUACCGCCAGCCGAGUUCUGCGUCGUCCUGUGUACCGUUGCAAUCAAGAAGCUGCCGAGGUAACUAGAAACUCCUCCUCCCACAUAGAAGAUGGAGCCGGCGAAACUCCUCAUGUUCUCGGGGAACUGCUUGUAGUAAAACUCCAUCUGUCCAAUAGCUCCAAAUGCCUCGGCUACACCCGCGAGUGUGAGCUGCGGUAUCAGCCACAUAGCUGACAUUGAGGAGAUUUCUCCCUUCCGUGGCGCCAUACCGAGUGUUGGUUUAGUCAAUGCGAAAGUCCUCCUCCGUUCCUCGACGAAACCAGACACUACCAAGCUCAAAAAGGCGAAGAAAAUCCCGGUUCCUAUCCUUUGCAAGAGCGUGAUCCCGGUGUCUAUACCGGUGAUUCUUCUCAAGGUAGGCACGAGGACGCGGUCGUAGAUUAUGAUGAAAACAGUCAUUCCUGUCAUCAAGAAGACCACAUAGGUGGCUGCAGGGAUCACAAACCCUCCAGAGCCUAAGCGACGAUCGCUCUGGAGGGCUUGAAAGACAGGAUAGGUCAUCUGUUGCGUGAUGGUCAAGUAAUAGAUCGAUGAAGCAAACCAUAUAGGAAGCACUCUCACAAUGCACUUCACUUCUUCAACUUGUUGCAUUGUACAUAGCUUCCAUGGAUCCGUAGGCUUACCAUCAGCAUCCAACUUGUCUUCAGGAGCCAAGAUCGCCGCCUUAUCAAGAAACCUACCAAAAACAGAAAGCUUGCUUUCUAAGUAAACAAAAGUGGAAAGAUAUUAUUUAUAACCGUGUGUCUUUACCUGAACUGGUCGGUGUACUUGAGCUUAGAGUUUGCGUAGUUUAGUGGGUAGUAAUUGUAAAGGUUAACCCAAGGCUGCUUCACAGCCUUUAACCCACGUUUCUUGAUAGCAACCGUUAUAACUUGAGCUAUACUAGCCAAUGGACUACCUGAGGCUUUGAUCUUGACAUACAACUUAUCACCCGCAAAGAAGAUCACGCAGGCCAAGAACAUUAACACGACAGGUAUGGUUAAACCGAUGGUCCAACUGACGUUAGACUGGAU
rnacentral:lncRNA from 1 species